rnacentral:rRNA from 1 species
UCGUGUCGUGAGAUGUUGGGUUAAGUCCCGCAACGAGCGCAGCCCCUAUUGUUAGUUGCCAUCAUUCAGUUGGGCACUCUAGCGAGACUGCCGGUAAUAAACCGGAGGAAGGUGGGGAUGACGUCAAAUCAUCAUGCCCCUUAUGACCUGGGCUACACACGUGCUACAAUGGUUGGUACAACGAGUUGCGAGUCGGUGACGGCGAGCUAAUCUCUUAAAGCCAAUCUCAGUUCGGAUUGUAGGCUGCAACUCGCCUACAUGAAGUCGGAAUCGCUAGUAAUCGCGGAUCAGCACGCCGCGGUGAAUACGUUCCCGGGCCUU